rnacentral:rRNA from 1 species
GACGAACGCUGGCGGCGUGCCUAAUACAUGCAAGUUGAGCGAUGAAGCUUGGUGCUUGCCCCGAUUUGAAGAGCAGCGAACGGGUGAGUAACGCGUGGGGAAUCUGCCUUUGAGCGGGGGACAACAUUUGGAAACGAAUGCUAAUACCGCAUAACAACUUUAAACAUAAGUUUUAAGUUUGAAAGAUGCAAUUGCAUCACUCAAAGAUGAUCCCGCGUUUUGUUUGCUAGUUGGUGAGGUAAAGGCACACCAAGGCGUAGAUACAUAGCCGGCCGGAAGAGGUGGAUGGCUACAAUGGGAACGGGAACAGGCCCAAAAUCCUAAGGGGAGGAGCAGUAGGGGAUCUUCGGAAAUGGAGGAAAGUCCGACCGAGGAAAGCCGCGGGGGUGAAGAAGGGUUUCGGAUCGGAAAAGUCUGUUGGGAGGGAAGAACGGGGGGUAGAGUGGAAAGCUCAUCAAGUGACGGUAACUACACAGAAAGGGACGGCUAACUACGUG